rnacentral:misc_RNA from 1 species
AAGUCGUAACAAGGUUUCCGUAGGUGAACCUGCGGAAGGAUCAUUAACACAAUUAUGAUACUAUAUCAACCCAUGUGAACUGUUGCCCCUCAGGUGCUGAAUCUCGGGAAUGAGAGGAGCAGAUGGCUAUGGUAGAGUUGCUAUCUAUUUUCUAAUAGAUAGUAACAGGCCGCUGCUUCGAUCUAUCUGUUAACGCAGACUCGAGCCACUUGAGGCUUUCUUUCAACUCAGUCUCUGCCAUGACUGUGUCUCUUUUUCCUUUUUUCACCCCUGACUUAAUUGAACUGAUGAAAGGAAGCAUCUGUUUCCUUUUAACGCGAGUCCUUCUUAGCAAGGGCGAGCAAUAUUAAUUAAAACACAACUCUUAACAGCGGAUAUCUCGGCUCCC